AACGAACGCUGGCGGCAUGCCUAACACAUGCAAGUCGAACGAGACCUUCGGGUCUAGUGGCGCACGGGUGCGUAACGCGUGGGAACCUGCCCUUAGGUUCGGAAUAACUCCCCGAAAGGGGUGCUAAUACCGGAUAAUGUCUUCGGCCCAAAGAUUUAUCGCGUUUGGAUGGGCCCGCGUUGGAUUAGCUAGUUGGUAGGGUAAAAGCCUACCAAGGCGACGAUCCAUAGCUGGUCUGAGAGGAUGAUCAGCCACACUGGGACUGAGACACGGCCCAGAAUCCUACGGGAGGCAGCAGUGGGGAAUAUUGGACAAUGGGCGAAAGCCUGAUCCAGCAAUGCCGCGUGAGUGAUGAAGGCCUUAGGGUUGUAAAGCUCUUUUACCCGGGAUGAUAAUGACAGUACCGUGAGAAUAAGCUCCGGCUAACUCCGUG
rnacentral:rRNA from 1 species